ensembl:lncRNA
GCUCUGGGCAGCUUUUUGUGGACUUUUAACUGCGACCUUGCCGACCCUCACGGUUCCGAGGGUAGGGAGAGUUGAGACCCCCUGGAUCCCGGCACUAAGCUACCCGGAUUCUAUUCAAAGCUAGGGCCCAGGGCUGGUUCGCGCGCUCCCCCUGCUGGAAACCGCCUGUCGGGCUCAGAGGCGCAGGGCAGCGGCUGGGGUACCUUGGGCCGGGAGGUUCUGAGGCUCGAACCGGGGCCAGGACCGAAGCCUGCGCGGCUCCCGGUUCUUCAUCCCGCGGUGCGACAUUCCGAAGUGGGACAUGCUAACCCAAGCAACAAAGCUUUCGUCCCCAUGCCCACCACUCAGCGGACGUCCCAGGAAUCUGCAGCCUCUUCACCCCCGCACAACACAGGCACAGUCCUCGCUUUGCACCCCGCUGUGUUUCCCACGCCGAGGGCACAGUUGGCACCUUCUGGAUACUCGCACUGGGUACAGGUAUGAUGAGAUGUUCCACUGAGCAUGCUCCUAUAUGUUUGUGUACUGCCUCUCCAGUAGGAAGAAAGGCCUUGGCCCUCCCCCUAAAAUCUCUCUUCAUUCCUCCUGUACCUCCCACACACCAUGGCACAGCUGUCACCAGUGUGCCUGUUUGGGAAGAGAGACCUGCAGCUGCAGGCUUGGAGAAAGGUUUUUAAUUAAAACCACAAUC